rnacentral:rRNA from 2 species
UCAGAUUGAACGCUGGCGGCAGGCCUAACACAUGCAAGUCGAGCGGUAGCACAGGGAGCUUGCUCCUGGGUGACGAGCGGCGGACGGGUGAGUAAUGUCUGGGAAACUGCCUGAUGGAGGGGGAUAACUACUGGAAACGGUAGCUAAUACCGCAUAACGUCUACGGACCAAAGUGGGGGACCUUCGGGCCUCAUGCCAUCAGAUGUGCCCAGAUGGGAUUAGCUAGUAGGUGGGGUAAUGGCUCACCUAGGCGACGAUCCCUAGCUGGUCUGAGAGGAUGACCAGCCACACUGGAACUGAGACACGGUCCAGACUCCUACGGGAGGCAGCAGUGGGGAAUAUUGCACAAUGGGCGCAAGCCUGAUGCAGCCAUGCCGCGUGUGUGAAGAAGGCCUUCGGGUUGUAAAGCACUUUCAGCGAGGAGGAAGGGUUCAGUGUUAAUAGC